rnacentral:rRNA from 1 species
GAUGAACGCUGGCGGCGUGCCUAAUACAUGCAAGUCGAGCGAACGGACGAGAAGCUUGCUUCUCUGAUGUUAGCGGCGGACGGGUGAGUAACACGUGGAUAACCUACCUAUAAGACUGGGAUAACUUCGGGAAACCGGAGCUAAUACCGGAUGAUAUUUUGAACCGCAUGGUUCAAAAGUGAAAGACGGUCUUGCUGUCACUUAUAGAUGGAUCCGCGCUGCAUUAGCUAGUUGGUAAGGUAACGGCUUACCAAGGCAACGAUGCAUAGCCGACCUGAGAGGGUGAUCGGCCACACUGAAACUGAGACACGGUCCAGACUCCUACGGGAGGCAGCAGUAGGGAAUCUUCCGCAAAGGGCGAAAGCCUGACGGAGCAACGCCGCGUGAGUGAUGAAGGUCUUCGGAUCGUAAAACUCUGUUAUUAGGGAAGAACAUAUGUGUAAGUAACUGUGCACAUCUUGACGGUACCUAAUCAGAAAGCCACGGCUAACUACGUG